ensembl:lncRNA
AGAUACAGAGGGUUAGAGAGGUUCUCCAUAGAUACAGAGGGUUAGAGAGGUUCUCCAUAGAUACAGAGGGUUAGAGGUUCUCCAUAGAUACAGAGGGUUAGAGAGGUUCUCCAUAGAUACAGAGGGUUAGAGAGGUUCUCCAUAGAUACAGAGGGUUAGAGGUUCUCCAUAGAUACAGAGGGUUAGAGAGGUUCUCCAUAGAUACAGAGGGUUAGAGGUUCUCCAUAGAUACAGAGGGUUAGAGGUUCUCCAUAGAUACAGAGGGUUAGAGAGGUUCUCCAUAGAUAGAGGGUUAGAGGUUCUCCAUAGAUACAGAGGGUUAGAGAGGUUCUCCAUAGAUACAGAGGGUUAGAGAGGUUCUCCAUAGAUACAGAGGGUUAGAGAGGUUCUCCAUAGAUACAGAGGGUUAGAGGUUCUCCAUAGGAUACAGAGGGUUAGAGAGGUUCUCCAUAGAUACAGAGGGUUAGAGAGGUUCUCCAUAGAUACAGAGGGUUAGAGGUUCUCCAUAGAUACAGAGGGUUAGAGGUUCUCCAUAGGAUACAGAGGGUUAGAGAGGUUCUCCAUAGAUACAGAGGGUUAGAGAGGUUCUCCAUAGGAUACAGAGGGUUAGAGGUUCUCCAUAGAUACAGAGGGUUAGAGGUUCUCCAUAGAUACAGAGGGUUAGAGAGGUUCUCCAUAGAUACAGAGGGUUAGAGGUUCUCCAUAGGAUACAGAGGGUUAGAGGUUCUCCAUAGAUACAGAGGGUUAGAGAGGUUCUCCAUAGAUACAGAGGGUUAGAGAGGUUCUCCAUAGGAUACAGAGGGUUAGAGAGGUUCUCCAUAGAUACAGAGGGUUAGAGAGGUUCUCCAUAGAUACAGAGGGUUAGAGAGGUUCUCCAUAGAUACAGAGGGUUAGAGGUUCUCCAUAGGAUACAGAGGGUGAGAG